GACAGGGAGGGCAAGCGUUAUUUCUCUUCGAAAGGUGUAAAAGGCAGGUCGGUGAAACUAACAGAUGAUUGGUAAAAUUUUAAAUAACUUAAAAAUAUAUAUUAUAAGUUAGUUUGAUAUCUUAUAGAGAUUUAAGGAAUUUUUGGUAUAAGGAUAAAAUUUGUUCAGACCAAAAGGAACGCCGAUGGUGAAGACCUUUUUUUAUUAUGAUAGUUGCUUAACUACGAAAACAUGGGUAGCGAGCGGU
rnacentral:rRNA from 1 species